GAUAUUAAUAGUAAUAUACUGACUAGACUGCGUAGUGGAACAUUAAAACUAAAUAUUGAAGUUGGUCGUUUUGACAAUAUUGUAAGAGAAAAUCGUAUAGGUAUAUGCUGUCAUAUGAAUUGUAUUGAAAACGAGUACCAUUUUGUUCUUGUAUGUCCUACCUUUAGAUCAUUGAGACUACAGUUUUUACCAAAAUAUUAUUGUUCAUGGCAAACUAAUAGAAAGCUGGUAUUUCUUUUACAGGCUAGCUCAAAGAGUCAAACUAAAAAAAUGUGUAAAUUUCUUAAUGCGGCAUGGAAGGUAAGAUCACAAAUAAUCAUUGCAUAGCAGUUGUAAUUAUGUGCUUAUUAUGACCAUAUUGUGUUGUUCUCUGUUUGUUUACUGUCAUUAUUGAAAUUGUGUAUUAUGUUAUUUUGCUAUAGCAUUAUGUUUGCUUCUGCAAUAAAAUAUAUUCAUAUAUUCAUUCAUUC
rnacentral:lncRNA from 1 species